rnacentral:rRNA from 1 species
AUUGAACGCUGGCGGCAUGCUUUACACAUGCAAGUCGAACGGUAACAGGCCGCAAGGUGCUGACGAGUGGCGAACGGGUGAGUAAUGCAUCGGAACGUGCCCAGUCGUGGGGGAUAACUACUCGAAAGAGUAGCUAAUACCGCAUACGAUCUAUGGAUGACAGCGGGGGACCGUAAGGCCUCGCGCGAUUGGAGCGGCCGAUGUCAGAUUGGGUAGUUGGUGGGGUAAAGGCUCACCAAGCCAACGAUCUGUAGCUGGUCUGAGAGGACGACCAGCCACACUGGGACUGAGACACGGCCCAGACUCCUACGGGAGGCAGCAGUGGGGAAUUUUGGACAAUAGGCGCAAGCCUGAUCCAGCAAUGCCGCGUGCAGGAAGAAGGCCUUCGGGUUGUAAACUGCUUUUGUACGGAACGAAACGGCUCUGGUUAAUACCCGGGGCUAAUGACGGUACCGUAAGAAUAAGCACCGGCUAACUACGUG